rnacentral:rRNA from 1 species
UACGUAGGGUGCAAGCGUUGUCCGGAAUUAUUGGGCGUAAAGAGCUCGUAGGCGGUCUGUCGCGUCUGCUGUGAAAACUCAGGGCUUAACCCUGAGCUUGCAGUGGGUACGGGCAGACUAGAGUGCGGUAGGGGAGACUGGAAUUCCUGGUGUAGCGGUGAAAUGCGCAGAUAUCAGGAGGAACACCGGUGGCGAAGGCGGGACUCUGG